CCUACGGGAGGCAGCAGUGGGGAAUAUUGGGCAAUGGGCGCAAGCCUGACCCAGCAACGCCGCGUGAAGGAAGAAGGCUUUCGGGUUGUAAACUUCUUUUGACAGGGAAGAGUAGAAGACGGUACCUGUCGAAUAAGCCACGGCUAACUACGUGCCAGCAGCCGAGGUAAUACGUAGGUGGCAAGCGUUGUCCGGAUUUACUGGGUGGAAAGGGCGUGUAGCCGGGUUGACAAGUCAGAUGUGAAAUCCUGCGGCUUAACCGCAGAACUGCAUUUGAAACUGUUGAUCUUGAGUACUGGAGAGGCAGGCGGAAUUCCUAGUGUAGCGGUGAAAUGCGUAGAUAUUAGGAGGAACACCAGUGGCGAAGGCGGUCUGCUGGACAGCAACUGACGGUGAGGCGCGAAAGCGUGGGGAGCAAACAGGAUUAGAUACCCGAGUAGUC
rnacentral:rRNA from 1 species